CCCUGAAGUUCCUUAGGUUCACACAUUUCAGGCUUCUCCCCCAUUUGAAUCUUGGCAGCUAGCACAGUGCCCUCCUUGAAGGCCCAUGAAGUUUCAGGAAGAGCCGAUCACACGACCCAGCGGGCUAUAGAGCACCUCCACGCCUCCGCAGAGCCGACUCCGCUGGUGCCGCACGGCCGCAAGGGAUCAUUUCUUCAUCCAUCUCCUCCCUCUGCCAAGUCAUCAGAAAAUGCUGAGCACCUAUGGAAAAUCCUCAGCACACGCCACCUCUUCUGUCUGGUUUUCAUUUUAUGUUGUGCUGCUUUUUUGGUACAAUAAACAAGGUGAAAGCAAGCUGGCCUAAUGGGAAGGUUGACCUGAUUUCCGCUCUCCUACCAAAAAGUGACAAUGCAGCUCCCGGGCCGAGGAGGGUCGUUGUGUGACCAGUUCAGAGGCAGGAGUUCAGGCCGCUGCACUGACCCUCUGCAAAAGGAAGCAACUGGACAUUUCCUCUACACAUUGUCUCUUUUGAAAAGUUCCAAAAUCCACAGCACCAGGCUCAGGCCUGCCUCCUUCAGCAAGCCUCCCUGGGACCCUCCUCGGCACACACAUUUAUUGAGCACCGGCUGAAUGCCAGCCACAGCAUUUACGUGGGGUUUCAGGUGUGAAUAGCAUCGUCGUGGAGCAAGCCAGGCCUGCGGUGCAGAACAACAGAGGCAAGGUGCCGUCACAGCACCAGAGCUUGGCAGGGCCAGGGGCCACCCCUCCCAUCACCCAUCUCCUGGUCUAGAUGCAGUUAGGCUUCUGAGUGGUACCUGAAGCUUCCUUGUGCUCUUGUUCUCAAACCAUUUUCUCGUGUGUAAGAGGAACUCGUGUUGCCUCCAUCUGCCUGGUGUUUGCACCCAAAGCAAGCUCUCCAUGUGGGAGAGAAAGAAAUUAAUUGAGGAACCAAGCCUGAGGCAGAAGCACCAAAUCUGCACCUUUGUACUCUGGGGGGUUGUGAUAAACUGCCUGCUUUUCCAGGGACGUUUUCCCCACCCACCUUUGAACUACCUUAAAACAAUAAAGCGCUG
rnacentral:lncRNA from 13 species